ACUCCUACGGGAGGGCAGCAGUAGGGGAAGUCUUCCACAAUGGGCGCAAGCCUGAUGGAGCAACACCGCGUGAGUGAAGAAGGGUUUCGGCUCGUAAAGCUCUGUUGUUAAAGAAGAACACGUAUGAGAGUAACUGUUCAUACGUUGACGGUAUUUAACCAGAAAGUCACGGCUAACUACGUGCCAGCAGCCGCGGUAAUACGUAGGUGGCAAGCGUUAUCCGGAUUUAUUGGGCGUAAAGAGAGUGCAGGCGGUUUUCUAAGUCUGAUGUGAAAGCCUUCGGCUUAACCGGAGAAGUGCAUCGGAAACUGGAUAACUUGAGUGCAGAAGAGGGUAGUGGAACUCCAUGUGUAGCGGUGGAAUGCGUAGAUAUAUGGAAGAACACCAGUGGCGAAGGCGGCUACCUGGUCUGCAACUGACGCUGAGACUCGAAAGCAUGGGGUAGCGAACAGGAUUAGAUACCCUGGUAGGAUAGCG
rnacentral:rRNA from 1 species